rnacentral:misc_RNA from 1 species
UCCCUGUUAACCAGGGCAGUCUCCUGUGACAUAUAUAACACAGGACAAGGGUUGCGCUCGUUCACGGACUUAACCGAACACCUCAAGGCACGAGCUGACGACAACCAUGCAGCACCUGUCACCGAGUUCCUUGCGGCACCCCCGCAUCUCUGCAGGGUUCUCGGGAUGUCAAACCUGGGUAAGGUUUCUCGUUUAAUGUCGAAUUAAACAACAUGCUCCACCGCUUGUGUGGGUCCCCGUCUAUUCCUUUGAGUUUUAGUCUUGCGACCGUAGUCCUCAGGCGGAGUACUUAACGCGUUAGCUACGGCACUGGAGGGAUCGACCUCCAACACCUAGUACUCAUCGUUUACGGCGUGGACUAC